rnacentral:rRNA from 1 species
GAUGAACGCUAGCUACAGGCUUAACACAUGCAAGUCGAGGGGUAACGAGAGGAAAGCUUGCUUUCCUUGUUGACGACCGGCGCACGGGUGAGUAACGCGUAUCCAACCUGCCCCCAACUAGGGAAUAACCUUGCGAAAGUAAGACUAAUACCCUAUAAUUUCCUCAGAUGUCAUCUGACGAGGAAUAAAGAUUUAUCGGUUGUGGAUGGGGAUGCGUCUGAUUAGCUUGUUGGCGGGGUAACGGCCCACCAAGGCAACGAUCAGUAGGGGUUCUGAGAAGAAGGUCCCCCACAUUGGAACUGAGACACGGUCCAAACUCCUACGGGAGGCAGCAGUGAGGAAUAUUGGUCAAUGGGCGGAAGCCUGAACCAGCCAAGUAGCGUGCAGGAUGACGGCCCUAUGGGUUGUAAACUGCUUUUAUACAGGAAUAAAGUUAGCCACGUGUGGUUAUUUGUAGGUACUGUAUGAAUAUGGACCGGCUAAUUCCGUGCCAGCCGCCGCAGUAA